rnacentral:rRNA from 1 species
CGUAGGGUGCGAGCGUUAAUCGGAAUUACUGGGCGUAAAGCGUGCGCAGGCGGUUUAGUAAGACAGGCGUGAAAUCCCCGGGCUCAACCUGGGAACUGCGCUUGUGACUGCUAAGCUAGAGUACGGCAGAGGGGGGUGGAAUUCCACGUGUAGCAGUGAAAUGCGUAGAGAUGUGGAGGAACACCAAUGGCGAAGGCAGCCCCCUGGGUCGAUACUGACGCUCAUGCACGAAAGCGUGGGUAGCAAACAGGAUUAGAUACCCUGGUAGUCCACGCCCUAAACGAUGUCAACUAGGUGUUGGGAGGGUAAAACCUUUUAGUACCGGAGCUGACGCGUGAAGUUGACCGCCUGGGGAGUACGGCCGCAAGGUUA